rnacentral:rRNA from 1 species
AUGAACGCUAGCUACAGGCUUAACACAUGCAAGUCGAGGGGCAGCAUUUCAGUUUGCUUGCAAACUGGAGAUGGCGACCGGCGCACGGGUGAGUAACACGUAUCCAACCUGCCGAUAACUCGGGGAUAGCCUUUCGAAAGAAAGAUUAAUACCCGAUGGUAUAAUCAGACCGCAUGGUCUUGUUAUUAAAGAAUUUCGGUUAUCGAUGGGGAUGCGUUCCAUUAGGCAGUUGGUGAGGUAACGGCUCACCAAACCUUCGAUGGAUAGGGGUUCUGAGAGGAAGGUCCCCCACAUUGGAACUGAGACACGGUCCAAACUCCUACGGGAGGCAGCAGUGAGGAAUAUUGGUCAAUGGGCGCAGGCCUGAACCAGCCAAGUAGCGUGAAGGAUGACUGCCCUAUGGGUUGUAAACUUCUUUUAUAUGGGAAUAAAGUUUUCCACGUGUGGAAUUUUGUAUGUACCAUAUGAAUAAGGAUCGGCUAACUCCGUGCCAGCAGCCGCGGUAAUACGGAGGAUCCGAGCGUUAUCCGGAUUUAUUGGGUUUAAAGGGAGCGUAGGUGGACAGUUAAGUCAGUUGUGAAAGUUUGCGGCUCAACCGUAAAAUUGCAGUUGAUACUGGCUGUCUUGAGUACAGUAGAGGUGGGCGGAAUUCGUGGUGUAGCGGUGAAAUGCUUAGAUAUCACGAAGAACUCCGAUUGCGAAGGCAGCUCACUGGACUGCAACUGACACUGAUGCUCGAAAGUGUGGGUAUCAAACAGGAUUAGAUACCCUGGUAGUCCACACGAUAAACGAUGAAUACUCGCUGUUUGCGAUAUACAGUAAGCGGCCAAGCGAAAGCAUUAAGUAUUCCACCUGGGGAGUACGCCGGCAACGGUGAAACUCAAAGGAAUUGACGGGGGCCCGCACAAGCGGAGGAACAUGUGGUUUAAUUCGAUGAUACGCGAGGAACCUUACCCGGGCUUAAAUUGCAUUUGAAUAUAUUGGAAACAGUAUAGCCGUAAGGCAAAUGUGAAGGUGCUGCAUGGUUGUCGUCAGCUCGUGCCGUGAGGUGUCGGCUUAAGUGCCAUAACGAGCGCAACCCUUAUCUUUAGUUACUAACAGGUCAUGCUGAGGACUCUAGAGAGACUGCCGUCGUAAGAUGUGAGGAAGGUGGGGAUGACGUCAAAUCAGCACGGCCCUUACGUCCGGGGCUACACACGUGUUACAAUGGGGGGUACAGAAGGCAGCUACCUGGUGACAGGAUGCUAAUCCCAAAAGCCUCUCUCAGUUCGGAUCGAAGUCUGCAACCCGACUUCGUGAAGCUGGAUUCGCUAGUAAUCGCGCAUCAGCCAUGGCGCGGUGAAUACGUUCCCGGGCCUUGUACACACCGCCCGUCAAGCCAUGAAAGCCGGGGGUACCUGAAGUACGUAACCGCAAGGAGCGUCCUAGGGUAAAACUGGUAAUUGGGGCU